CUGGCCCUGGAUCAAGGCCGCAACUUCCUGAUGCUGUUGGUUUCAGGCAGGAGUUUAAAGAGAUGUCUUUCUAUGUAUGGUCUGUUGGCCAUUUCAGAACUUGGGCAGUGAAAUUGUCAAUUCAUUAGAAAUAAACUGUU
ensembl:snoRNA small nucleolar RNA SNORA2/SNORA34 family